rnacentral:rRNA from 1 species
AUCUACGGCCAUGCCACCCUGAACAAGCCCGAUCCCGUCUGAUCUCGGAAGCUAAACAGGGUUUGGCCUCGUUAGUACUUGGAUAGGAAGACUAGGUGCUGUAGGCA